rnacentral:rRNA from 1 species
UGGGGAAUUUUGCACAAUGGGGGAAACCCUGAUGCAGCGACGCCGCGUGUUUUAGAAGGCCUUCGGGUUGUAAAAAUCUUUUUUACGGGAUGAAAAUGACAGUACCGUAAGAAUAAGGUCCGGCUAAAUACGUGUCAGCAGCCGCGGUAAUACGUAUGGACCGAGCGUUGUCCGGAAUCAUUGGGCGUAAAGGGUACGUAGGCGGCCUAGUAAGUUAGAAGUGAAAUAAUAUAGCUCAACUAUAUAAAGCUUUUAAAACUGCUAGGCUUGAGAGAUGGAAGGGAAAGUGGAAUUCCUAGUGUAGCGGUGAAAUGCGCAGAUAUUAGGAAGAAUACCGGUGGCGAAGGCGACUUUCUGGUCAUCAUCUGACGCUGAGGUACGAAAGCGUGGGUAGCAAACAGG